rnacentral:rRNA from 1 species
AACGAACGUUAGCGGCGCGCUUAACACAUGCAAGUCGAGCGAGAAAGGGCUUCGGCCCCGGUACAGCGGCGCACGGGUGAGUAACACGUAGGUAAUCUGCCCCCAUGUGGUGGAUAACCUUCCGAAAGGAGGGCUAAUACAGCAUGAGACCACGAGCUCGAAAGGGCAUGAGGUCAAAGCCGGCCUAUUCACGAAAGCUGGCGCAAGGGGAUGAGCCUGCGGCCCAUCAGCUAGUUGGUAGGGUAAUGGCCUACCAAGGCGAAGACGGGUAGCUGGUCUGAGAGGAUGGAUCAGCCACACUGGAACUGAGACACGGUCCAGACACCUACGGGAGGCAG